CUAGGGGAGACUAGGCUGCAACACAUGGAAGAGCUCAGCCACCUGCCUUCUCCAGGGGAAGCUGGCCUGGCAGGAGCUGGGGAGUAUGUGCUGCUGGGGGGCAACAGUGGAGGGGUCGGGGCACGCCUGGGCCACGCUGGGCUCCACUGUGGGAGGGACACUUGCCAGGUUUGCUUUGAGGCCUGUGACUUGGGCUGGGCCUCACCUGAACAGGCUCAGGAUAGCUGUGGCGACCAGAAGGGUGGCGAGGGACAGGCCGUAGCCAAUGGUGUAGCCGGUCUUCACAGAACCGUAGAACA
rnacentral:lncRNA from 1 species